GAUCUUCUUGACGAAGUGAGAGAACAAGCCCAUAUCAGAAUAGCGGCCUAUAAACAGAGAAUUGUUAAGUAUUAUAAUGUCCGAAUAAAAUCGAAGUCAUUUCAGAAGGAUGAUCCCAUCCUGAGAUGAGUAGAAAUUUUAAAGCCUAUCAAACAAGACAAACUAGCUCCCGAUUGGGAUGGACCUCAUCGAAUCACUUA
rnacentral:lncRNA from 1 species